CCUCCUUAAACGAAGCCGAACGCUUCGGUCAGAGUCCACACGAAUUACUUGGUUAGCUGAAUAAAGAGAGCAGAUGGGUCGUUGCAGGCCCGUGUUUUUGGGUCUGUAGCUCAGGUGGUUAGAGCCCACCCCUGAUAAGGGUGAGGUCGGUGGUUCAAGUCCACCCAGACCCACCAGAAUUGCGUGGCUCGUCGUUGCUUCCAAGCUCACGUGCGACUCGCACGCUACGCUUGCAAGCGCCUAGAUCCACACAAUUCUAUAGCUAAGGUUAAACGACCUGGCUUGUGUGGAAGAUCGAGGGGCCAUAGCUCAGCUGGGAGAGCGCCUGCCUUGCACGCAGGAGGUCGGCGGGUUCGAUCCCGCCUGGCUCCACCAAAAGCCUGAACGAUCGAUGCUUACAUAACUGACUAACUCCGGUUAGCAGUGUGCAGAAACAAGUGUUUCAACUUGAUGAAAAAAGUUCGAAGCCCUUCUUUCUGAUCACUGGGUCAAAUUUGCUCUUUAACAAAUUGGACGAGAUAAAACACGAUUGAUGGAUUCCAUUAUCUCCGGAAUUCUUGAUCAA
rnacentral:misc_RNA from 1 species